AGUCGAGCGACGGACGAGAAGCUUGCUUCUCUGAUGUUAGCGGCGGACGGGUGAGUAACACGUGGAUAACCUACCUAUAAGACUGGGAUAACUUCGGGAAACCGGAGCUAAUACCGGAUAAUAUUUUGAACCGCAUGGUUCAAAAGUGAAAGACGGUCUUGCUGUCACUUAUAGAUGGAUCCGCGCUGCAUUAGCUAGUUGGUAAGGUAACGGCUUACCAAGGCAACGAUGCAUAGCCGACCUGAGAGGGUGAUCGGCCACACUGGAACUGAGACACGGUCCAGACUCCUACGGGAGGCAGCAGUAGGGAAUCUUCCGCAAUGGGCGAAAGCCUGACGGAGCAACGCCGCGUGAGUGAUGAAGGUCUUCGGAUCGUAAAACUCUGUUAUUAGGGAAGAACAUAUGUGUAAGUAACUGUGCACAUCUUGACGGUACCUAAUCAGAAAGCCACGGCUAACUACGUGCCAGCAGCCGCGGUAAUACGUAGGUGGCAAGCGUUAUCCGGAAUUAUUGGGCGUAAAGCGCGCGUAGGCGGUUUUUUAAGUCUGAUGUGAAAGCCCACGGCUCAACCGUGGAGGGUCAUUGGAAACUGGAAAACUUGAGUGCAGAAGAGGAAAGUGGAAUUCCAUGUGUAGCGGUGAAAUGCGCAGAGAUAUGGAGGAACACCAGUGGCGAAGGCGACUUUCUGGUCUGUAACUGACGCUGAUGUGCGAAAGCGUGGGGAUCAAACAGGAUUAGAUACCCUGGUAGUCCACGCCGUAAACGAUGAGUGCUAAGUGUUAGGGGGUUUCCGCCCCUUAGUGCUGCAGCUAACG
rnacentral:rRNA from 1 species